ensembl:lncRNA
GCUCAAAAAAAUCUUUAUUUUUUACAUUUCUGGAAAUGGAGACAGAACACACAUGCUCAGAUUUGAAUUUUCUGCAGCUUGUGUCUGGUUUCCUGUGCAGCUCUGCACUAAACUUCCCCUUUCUUUACUUCCCCUUUCUAAAGUCUGUUGCCAGAUCGACCUGUCACCCUCUGACCUAGUUGUUUCUUAUGCCUCUAUUACAAAGUACAAAAGGCAAUAUAAUCAGAAAAUAAGCAUUAAAAAUAUAUAUUUAUAUCAUAACAUUGCAUAAAGUUUUAUGUACUUAAUUUUAAAAAGGGGGAAGUCAUUCAAAUUCUGAAGUAAAAAAAGCUAAAUGAACAUUCUCCAAGUGUGGUGAUUUCAUAUUUAUUUAUCUGGGAUGUUGAAAGACUUUUCUGUUUGGUUGCAAACCUGCCUAAAUUCAUAUUAGUUAUUACUUCCAUUACAACAAUUAAUUUUGGUUCUUGUGACAUGAUAUGUACUACUAUGUGAUCGAUAAGCAUUUAGGAAGCUUAUUUCCAAUCUUAUCAACCACUCCAAGCCCUUUCGACUUUAUAAAAAGAAACAAAUAGUUAGUGCCUGUUAGAACCACUAAAGAUCCGAGGACAACAUAACUGAAACCUGAUAACUAGAAACAGAGAUUAUAUUCGUUUAAAAAGAAUAUAUAAUUCAACACAUCCCCCUUCCUUUUCAAUUAUCAAAAUUUGUAUAUCUAUGAGGGAAAUGUACUGGUAGUUAGAAAAGCCAGCAAAAAAACAUUAACUUUCUUAAUGAUGAAAUAUUGUUGAAUAGUGUGAAAUAUAUCACUUCAUUGAAGAAACUUUUAAAUAUUUUAUAGGUACGGUAAUUCAUGUAGAAAAACAAUUGGUUGCAUUAAUAGUUUUAUUAAGAUGAAGAGAGUAAAAGUCUACAUUCAGGGGAAACCAGAGUAUCUCAUCCUAAAUAACAUAUGGUUAAUAUAUUCUGUAAUUUUAUAAAUGUUAAAAGUGGGGCCAUGUGUUACCAUCAAUAUGAUUGAGAAAAUUCAAGAAAAUAAGUGACAGUCGGGACAAUCAUAACAUUAUUCAAAACAAAUAUACUGCCAUAGCUUUCUUUAUUCCCCUUGCCAUCAAUGGGAUAUUUCCAAAGCAAAAAAACUAAUCCCAUCAUAAUGUCUGUUGAAAACUUUAUCACGGUCAUAGUUGUAAUCCUUUGGCUUUUUUUUGGUGUAAUUACAGUUACUAGUCUAAGAAAUACUGUCAUUGAAUCACAUAUAACAAAAAUCCCAAGUAACUAGUUUGGUUGUCUAUUUCUGUAUGUAUAUUUCUGUUCCUAUUAUUGCACACUAUUACAUUUUUUCAAGACAUUUGCAUAAUGAGUUUAAUAAAUAGAUAAAUAUAUUUGUGGGUAAAUAUUAAAUAGAUAUUACACUUUAUAAGUCACAAGGGUAAUUGUUUGUUAAAUAGUUAUCCAUGCUAAGGUUUACCCAGACCCUUUUUCUUACAUCUGAAGUGAAUGGAACUUAAAUCCCAACUAAACAGGAAAAGAAGAAGUAAACAGUAAGAUAAAACAAAAAAAUCAUCCUUUCACAGUUGUAGUGUUUUUAUGGGGUUUCCAUCCAUGAUUUACCAUUUAAUAGAUGGUAAAGACAAACAGUGCCACUAAUAGAGGGAUUACAUUAAUUCUGACAGAGGAUGCGUGACUUGUUGUCGUCGUGGAUGUUAUAGCUGUUGAAGGCAUUUUAGUGGUUGUUGUUGCGGCUGUUGUCAUGGUUGGAGCAGCUGUUGGUGGUGGUGGAGCAGCAGUUAUUGUUGUUGUAGCAGCAGUCUUUGUGGUUGGAGCAACUGCUGUGGUUGUUGGAGCAGCAGUUGUAGUGGUUGGAGCAGCCGUUGUAGUUGUUAGAACAGCUGCUGAUGUGGUUGGAGCAGCUGUUGUUGUGGUUGGAGCAGCUGUUGUUGUGGUUGGAGCAGCUGUUGUUGUGGUUGGAGCAGCUGUUGUUGUGGUUGGAGCAGCAGUUGUUGUGGUUGGAGCAGCUGUUGUUGUGGUUGGAGCAGCUGUUGUUGUUGGAGCAGCAGUUGUUGUGGUUGGAGCAGCUGUUGUUGUGGUUGGAGCAGCUGUUGUUG